UUCUCAAAACCAAAGUACAUGUAGGUGCUUCUCUAUCUUUCCGAUCAGUGUAGGGUUAUCAGAUUUAGCAGGAAAAAGAAGAAAAGGACUCCCAAUUAAAUUUGAAUUUCAAAUGAAAAAUAAGUAAUUAUUUUUAAUAUAAGAAUGUUUCAUGCAACAGUUGGGACAUACUUACACCAAAAAACACUUACUUAUUUCUCUGCAAUUGAAAUUUAACAAGGAGUCCUAUAUUUUAUCUGGCCACCUGAGACCAGUCCACCCUGUUGAACAUGGAAAUGUCUUUCAAAUAAAAAGUGAGAAGAGUGAAAAUACUAAUAAAAUGUAUCUAAUGACUAUAAAACUUCUUAAAAGCCUACCCAGAAGACAGCUUUAGCAGGACCUUCAGGGUUUGGUUAAAGCCAAAGGUUCGAAUCCUGCUCUGUCAUCACCAAGCUGAGUAACUUAGACACACUGUCAAUGUAUGGAAUGUGAAGCUAGUCACCUCUAAAAGGAAACAAACAUCAUCUACACUGCAGGCAGGCCUGUCAAGAGAAUUCGCUGAGAUAAUGAACAUGAAAACACUUUGUACACCUAAAAGACUAGAAACAUGAGCAAUUGAUUAUCAUGUUGAAAUCUGCUUAAAGACUUUUGAAACUCAUAAUGAUAUUCAUUCAAAAUAUGAUAAAGCCUGCAUGUUUGCUCUUUUCAUGAUUUUUUUGGUCAUUUCGAUCAUCAAAUAGCAAAUAUGAAAAGGAAAAGAAAAUAUCCCAAAUUAAAAGGACCUUGGGCCUUAAGCUAUUGAUUGUGUCUGCUAAAAGCAUCCUGUUUAAUCUUCAAUGUUUUACCCGAAACCACAUCCCUUACUACCAUUUCUAGAUGGAUCAGCUCUAGAGAUGCUACCCUAUAUGUGAAUACGUAGUGGGGAAAACCUAUACUGGGGACCAGUUUUACUGGGUUCAAGGACUGGCUCUGCUGUUCACUCACUAUGUGCUUUAGGCAACUGCCUGCCCCUCUACACAUCAUGAUCCAUUGGACAAGAUAACCUCUGUGAGCUUUUUAAGCUCUAAACCCUAUGCUGGGGAUACUUUCACAUCUGAAAGUACCCUAUGUUCUUUCAUUGCCAGCCAGCACCUGAGAGAGAAUUUUUCUGAUCCCAUU
rnacentral:lncRNA from 1 species